GGAACUGUGCCUGAAGUAAAGGACCACUUUGAUAGAGUGUAUUAUGAGGGUUAAAGCCCCUCCAGCUCCU
rnacentral:tRNA from 3 species